UACGAAGGGGGCUAGCGUUGCUCGGAAUCACUGGGCGUAAAGCGCACGUAGGCGGCUUCUUAAGUCAGGGGUGAAAUCCUGGAGCUCAACUCCAGAACUGCCUUUGAUACUGGGAGGCUCGAGUCCGGGAGAGGUGAGUGGAACUGCGAGUGUAGAGGUGAAAUUCGUAGAUAUUCGCAAGAACACCAGUGGCGAAGGCGGCUCACUGGCCCGGUACUGACGCUGAGGUGCGAAGCGUGGGAGCAACAGG
rnacentral:rRNA from 1 species